rnacentral:rRNA from 1 species
GAAACUGCCUGAUGGAGGGGGAUAACUACUGGAAACGGUAGCUAAUACCGCAUAACGUCGCAAGACCAAAGAGGGGGACCUUCGGGCCUCUUGCCAUCGGAUGUGCCCAGAUGGGAUUAGCUUGUUGGUGGGGUAACGGCUCACCUAGGCGACGAUCCCUAGCUGGUCUGAGAGGAUGACCAGCCACACUGGAACUGAGACACGGUCCAGACUCCUACGGGAGGCAGCAGUGGGGAAUAUUGCACAAUGGGCGCAAGCCUGAUGCAGCCAUGCCGCGUGUAUGAAGAAGGCCUUCGGGUUGUAAAGUACUUUCAGCGGGGAGGAAGGGAGUAAAGUUAAUACCUUUGCUCAUUGACGUUACCCGCAGAAGAAGCACCGGCUAACUCCGUGCCAGCAGCCGCGGUAAUACGGAGGGUGCAAGCGUUAAUCGGAAUUACUGGGCGUAAAGCGCACGCAGGCGGUUUGUUAAGUCAGAUGUGAAAUCCCC